AUACCACUCUAACAAUGCUAGGAUUCUAACCCUAUGUCGUUAUCCGGCUAGGGGACAGUUUCAGGUGGUCAGUUUGACCGGGGCGGUCGCCUCCUAAAAGGUAACGGAGGCGUGCAAAGGUUCCCUCAGGCUGGUUGGAAAUCAGUCGUAGAGUGUAAGGGCAUAAGGGAGCUUGAUUGUGAGACAUACAAGUCGAACAAAGACGAAAGUCGGCCUUAGUGAUCCGGCGGUACCGAGUGGAAGGGCCGUCGCUCAACGGAUAAAAGUUACUCUAGGGAUAACA
rnacentral:rRNA from 1 species